ACACAUGCAAGUCGAGGGGAAACGACAUCGAAAGCUUGCUUUUGAUGGGCGUCGACCGGCGCACGGGUGAGUAACGCGUAUCCAACCUGCCCACCACUUGGGGAUAACCUUGCGAAAGUAAGACUAAUACCCAAUGACGUCUCUAGAAGACAUCUGAAAGAGAUUAAAGAUUUAUCGGUGAUGGAUGGGGAUGCGUCUGAUUAGCUUGUUGGCGGGGUAACGGCCCACCAAGGCUACGAUCAGUAGGGGUUCUGAGAGGAAGGUCCCCCACAUUGGAACUGAGACACGGUCCAAACUCCUACGGGAGGCAGCAGUGAGGAAUAUUGGUCAAUGGACGAGAGUCUGAACCAGCCAAGUAGCGUGCAGGAUGACGGCCCUAUGGGUUGUAAACUGCUUUUAUAAGGGAAUAAAGUGAGUCUCGUGAGACUUUUUGCAUGUACCUUAUGAAUAAGGACCGGCUAAUUCCGUGCCAGCAGCCGCGGUAAUACGGAAGGUCCGGGCGUUAUCCGGAUUUAUUGGGUUUAAAGGGAGCGUAGGCCGGAGAUUAAGCGUGUUGUGAAAUGUAGAUGCUCAACAUCUGCACUGCAGCGCGAACUGGUUUCCUUGAGUACGCACAAAGUGGGCGGAAUUCGUGGUGUAGCGGUGAAAUGCUUAGAUAUCACGAAGAACUCCGAUUGCGAAGGCAGCUCACUGGAGCGCAACUGACGCUGAAGCUCGAAAGUGCGGGUAUCGAACAGGAUUAGAUACCCUGGUAGUCCGCACGGUAAACGAUGGAUGCCCGCUGUUGGUCUGAAUAGGUCAGCGGCCAAGCGAAAGCAUUAAGCAUCCCACCUGGGGAGUACGCCGGCA
rnacentral:rRNA from 1 species